rnacentral:rRNA from 1 species
GUCGUACGGACUCGGUCGGUGGAACUGGCGCACGGGUGAGUAACGCGUGGGGAUAUGCCCAAGGGUACGGAAUAACCGCUGGAAACGGCGGCUAAUACCGUAUGUUCCCUCAGGGGGAAAGCUUCGGCGCCCUUGGAUUAUCCCGCGUCCGAUUAGCUUGUUGGUGAGGUAACGGCUCACCAAGGCUCCGAUCGGUAGCUGGCCUGAGAGGACGAUCAGCCACACUGGGACUGAGACACGGCCCAGACUCCUACGGGAGGCAGCAGUGGGGAAUAUUGGACAAUGGGGGCAACCCUGAUCCAGCCAUGCCGCGUGAGUGAAGAAGGCCCUAGGGUUGUAAAGCUCUUUCAGCGGGGAAGAUGAUGACGGUACCCGCAGAAGAAGCCCCGGCUAACUCCGUGCCAGCAGCCGCGGUAAUACGGAGGGGGCUAGCGUUGCUCGGAAUUACUGGGCGUAAAGGGCGCGUAGGCGGAUUUCUCAGUCAGGCGUGAAAGCCCCGGGCUCAACCCGGGAACUGCGUUUGAUACUAGAAGUCUAGAGAUCUGGAGAGGGUGGUGGAAUUCCCAGUGUAGAGGUGAAAUUCGUAGAUAUUGGGAAGGACACCGGUGGCGAAGGCGGCCACCUGGCCAGACACUGACGCUAAGGCGCGA